rnacentral:rRNA from 1 species
AUCUUUUGAUCCUGGCUCAGGACGAACGCUGGCGGCGUGGAUUAGGCAUGCAAGUCGAGCGACGGACAGAUUUCGGUCUGUCACGGAGCGGCGAACGGGUGAGUAACACGUGAACAACCUGUCCCUACAUUCCGGAUAAUUGGUCGAAAGACCUUGUAAUACGGGCGAGGAUCCUUGGAAGGCAUCUUUCGAGGAGGGAACACGCAAGUGGUGCGGGGAGGGGUUCGCGUCCCAUCAGGUAGUUGGUGAGGUAACGGCCCACCAAGCCUACGACGGGUAGCUGGUCUGAGAGGAUGGUCAGCCACAUUGGAACUGAGAUACUGUCCAGACUCCUACGGGAGGCUGCAGUCGAGAAUCUUGCACAAUGCACGAAAGUGUGAUGCAGCGACGCCGCGUGGAGGAUGAAGGCCCUUGGGUUGUAAACUCCUUUUGUUGGGGAAGAAUAAAUGACGGUACCCAGCGAAUAAGCCACGGCUAACUACGUGCCAGCAGCCGCGGUAAUACGUAGGUGGCAAGCGUUGUCCGGAUUUACUGGGUGUAAAGGGUGCGCAGGCGGGCCAUUAAGUAGAAAGUGAAAGGUUGGAGCUCAACUCCGACACUGCUUCCUAUACUGGUGGCCUUGAGUUUCGGAGGGGGAAGCGGAACGACACGUGUAGCGGUGAAAUGCGUUGAUAUGUGUCGGAACACCAAUGGCGAAAGCAGCUUCCUGGACGAAUACUGACGCUCAGGCACGAAAGCCAAGGUAGCAAACAGGAUUAGAUACCCUGGUAGUCUUGGCCAUAAACGAUGAUCACUAGGUGUCGGGGGUCUCCUCGGUGCCGCAGCUAACGCAUUAAGUGAUCCACCUGGGGACUACGGCCGCAAGGUUGAAACUCAAAGGAAUUGGCGGGGGCCCGCACAAGCGGUGGAGCAUGUGGCUUAAUUCGAUGCAACGCGAAGAACCUUACCAGGCCUUGACAUCCUUGGAACU